CCUACGGGAGGCAGCAGUAGGGAAUUUUCCACAAUGGGCGAAAGCCUGAUGGAGCAAUACCGCGUGCAGGAUGAAGGCCUUCGGGUCGUAAACUGCUUUUAUGUGCGAAGAAUUUGACGGUAACACAUGAAUAAGGAUCGGCUAACUACGUGCCAGCAGCCGCGGUCAUACGUAGGAUCCAAGCGUUAUCCGGAAUUACUGGGCGUAAAGAGUUGCGUAGGUGGCAUUAUAAGUGGAGCGUGAAAGCGUGCGGCUCAACCGCAUUAUUGCGUUCCAAACUGUGAAGCUUGAGUAUGGGAGAGGUAGAUGGAAUUUCUAGUGUAGGAGUGAAAUCCGUAGAUAUUAGAAGGAACACCGAUGGCGUAGGCAGUCUACUGGCCCAUUACUGACACUAAGGCACGAAAGCGUGGGGAGCAAACGGGAUUAGAUACCCCGGUAGUCCACGCUGUAAACUAUGGAUGCUAGCUGUGACACACAUCGACCUGUGUCGUAGCGAAGUUAACGCGUUAAGCGCNCCGCCGUGGGAGGUACGGUCGCGAGUAAGUUAAACGUAACGAAAGAAGUAGUUAGGCGUGNGAGNGCGACGGACGACGACGAGGGAGGAGG
rnacentral:rRNA from 1 species